GCGGUGGUAGCUUAGCGGUCUAAAGCGUUCCCCUGUCACGGGAAAGAUCGUGGGUCCAAAUCCCAUCCACCGCG
rnacentral:tRNA from 1 species